rnacentral:other from 1 species
UACCCCCUGAAGUGUGCGCCAGUUAUCCGUUUUUACCCACAUUUUACCAAAUGGAAUCCGCGUCAGGAGUUGGCUGCCACGCCCCCGCGCAAGCGAUAGGGGACGGCAAAAAUCUGUUGCAGGGUACCAGCCUGCUGAACAUAGCGGGUGAAAAAAUGGAUGCAGCGGCACUUCGGGCUAUCC